UGAACGCUGGCGGCGUGCCUAAUACAUGCACGUCGAGCGACCAGACGAGGAGCUUGCUCCUCUGACGUUAGCGGCGGACGGGUGAGUAACACGUGGAUAACCUACCUAUAAGACUGGGAUAACUUCGGGAAACCGGAGCUAAUACCGGAUAAUAUAUUGAACCGCAUGGUUCAAUAGUGAAAGACGGUUUUGCUGUCACUUAUAGAUGGAUCCGCGCCGCAUUAGCUAGUUGGUAAGGUAACGGCUUACCAAGGCAACGAUGCGUAGCCGACCUGAGAGGGUGAUCGGCCACACUGGAACUGAGACACGGUCCAGACUCCUACGGGAGGCAGCAGUAGGGAAUCUUCCGCAAUGGGCGAAAGCCUGACGGAGCAACGCCGCGUGAGUGAUGAAGGUCUUCGGAUCGUAAAACUCUGUUAUUAGGGAAGAACAAAUGUGUAAGUAACUAUGCACGUCUUGACGGUACCUAAUCAGAAAGCCACGGCUAACUACGUG
rnacentral:rRNA from 1 species